AGGACUAUACUUUCAGGGAUCAUUUCUGUAGUUGGUAACUAGAGGAGUGUGAUCGAAAGUGUCCGGCGUCACAAUUUUA
rfam:Callipepla squamata strain Texas jcf7180005233274, whole genome shotgun sequence.